UACAGAGGGGGCAAGCGUUGUUCGGAAUUACUGGGCGUAAAGGGCGCGUAGGCGGCCUUCUAAGUCAGACUGGAAAUCCCCGGGCUCAACCCGGGAACUGCGUCUGAGACUGGAAGGCUCGAAUCCGGGAGAGGGAUGUGGAAUUCCAGGUGUAGCGGUGAAAUGCGUAGAUAUCUGGAGGAACACCGGUGGCGAAGGCGGCAUCCUGGACCGGUAUUGACGCUGAGGCGCGAAAGCCAGGGGAGCAAACGGG
rnacentral:rRNA from 1 species